rnacentral:rRNA from 1 species
CGUGCUUUAACACAUGCAAGUCGAACGGUAAGGCCCUUUCGGGGUACACGAGUGGCGAACGGGGUGAGUAAACACGUGGGUGAUCUGCCCCUGCACUUCGGGGAUAAGCCCCGGGAAAACUGGGUCUAAUACCGGAUAUGGCCUCUGCCUGCAUGGGUGGGGGUGGAAAGCUUUUUGCGGUGUGGGAUGGGCCCGCGGCCUAUCAGCUUGUUGGUGGGGUUUAAGGCCUACCAAGGCGACGACGGGUAGCCGGCCUGAGAGGGUGUCCGGCCACACUGGGACUGAGAUACGGCCCAGACUCC